rnacentral:rRNA from 1 species
GACGAACGCUGGCGGCGUGCCUAAUACAUGCAAGUAGAACGCACAGUUUAUACCGUAGCUUGCUCCACCAUAGACUGUGAGUUGCGAACGGGUGAGUAACGCGUAGGUAACCUGCCUGGUAGCGGGGGAUAACUAUUGGAAACGAUAGCUAAUACCGCAUAAUAUUGAUUAUUGCAUGAUAAUUGAUUGAAAGAUGCUAUUGCAUCACUACCAGAUGGACCUGCGUUGUAUUAGCUAGUAGGGGAGGUAACGGCUCACCUAGGCGACGAUACAUAGCCGACUUGAGAGGUUGAUCGGCACCACUGGAACUGAGACACGGCCAAGACUCCAAGGGAAGGAACCAGUGGGGAUUAUUGGAAAUUGGGCAAAGUCCGGCCGAAGCAAGACGGGUUAGUGGAGGAAGGUUUCGGAUCGUAAAGCUCUGUUUUAAGAGAAGAACGGGUGUGAGAGUGGAAAGUUCACACUGUGACGGUAUCUUACCAGAAAGGGACGGCUAACUACGUG